UUGAUUCUUAUAUUAUCAAUCAGACAAAAAAGACAUGAGAUCCGCAUAAAGGCGGCGCCCGCCCCAAGUCAAGACAGGGGGUGAGGGGCACCGAAGCACAUUCUCUCUGAAUGGUCCACAGGUUUGAUGGGGUUUGAAGGUACAGAGACCAUUCGUUAAUGAUCCCUCCGCAGGUUCACCUACGGAGA
rnacentral:misc_RNA from 1 species